rnacentral:rRNA from 1 species
CCUACGGGAGGCAGCAGUGAGGAAUAUUGGUCAAUGGUCGGGAGACUGAACCAGCCAAGCCGCGUGAGGGAUGAAGGUACAGAGUAUCGUAAACCUCUUUUGUCAGGGAACAAAGGCGGGGACGCGUACCCGGUUGAGUGUACCUGAAGAAAAAGCAUCGGCUAACUCCGUGCCAGCAGCCGCGGUAAUACGGAGGAUGCGAGCGUUAUCCGGAUUUAUUGGGUUUAAAGGGUGCGCAGGCGGGCUCUUAAGUCAGCGGUCAAAGUCCGGGGCUCAACCGCGGGCUCGCCGUUGAAACUGGCAGUCUCGAGUUGGGGAGAGGUAUGCGGAAUGCGCGGUGUAGCGGUGAAAUGCAUAGAUAUCGCGCAGAACUCCGAUUGCGAAGGCAGCAUGCCGGCUCCUCACUGACGCUGAGGCACGAAAGCGUGGGUAUCGAACAGGAUUAGAUACCCCGGUAGUC